AGAAUUCAUGCAUUGUAUUUUCUGUAAUCGCAUCAUCUUAUUCAUACAGCAAUUUUAGUUGAUUGUAUGCUUAUUCCCGUAUAAAGAAUGUGGGAAAAAGAAUUUCACAAUUUAAAUCUUUGAGGGUGUUUGUUACAAGUCUUUCAUCCAUCAGCUUGUGAUCUAAGUUCGUCAAUUUCUUUCAGACUUCCCAUUUGCUUCUCAUCUCAACAGCAAGCGCGAAUGUUUGAGUAGAGUUUUCAGAGGCCUUGUCCCCUGAGCGCCAUGCAACGCGUCCUUCGCUCUCUCCAUCACCUUACGAUCAUAAAAUUACCUUAUCUUAUAAGACG
rnacentral:lncRNA from 1 species